rnacentral:rRNA from 1 species
UACGGAGGAUGCGAGCGUUAUCCGGAUUUAUUGGGUUUAAAGGGUGCGUAGGCGGACUGUCAAGUCAGCGGUAAAAAUUCGGGGCUCAACCCCGUCGUGCCGUUGAAACUGAUGUUCUUGAGUGGGCGAGAAGUAUGCGGAAUGCGUGGUGUAGCGGUGAAAUGCAUAGAUAUUAGGAGGAACACCGGCGGCGAAGGCGGCCUGCUGGACCGUGACUGACGUUGAGGCUCGAGAGCGUGGGGAGCAAACAGG